AAGUCCUCCAGCCCCACAACUAGGUCCUCCAGCCCCACCCUCUGGUCCUCCAGCCCCACACCCAAGUCCUCCAACGCCAUUCUUUGGUCCUCCAGCCCCACACCCGAGUCCUCCAGCCCCUUCCCCAAGUCCUCCACCCCCACCUAAGUCCUCCAGCCCCGCACCCUGGUCCUCCAGCCCCACGCUUUGGUCCUCCAGCCCCACACCCAAGUCCUCCAACACCAUUCUUUGGUCCUCCAGGGCCUCCCCCAAGUCCUCCACUCCCCCCCAAGUCCUCCAGCCCCACCCUUUGGUCCUCCAGCCCCACUCCCGAGUCCUCCAGCCCCACCCCGAAGUCCUCCAGCCCCACAACUAAGUCCUCCAGACCCCACAUUCCUGCCCCACACAUUCCAACCCCACACAUCCAGUACCACACAUCCCGCCCCACACAUCCAGCCCCAUAGAUCCGGACCCACACAUCCGUCCCACACAUUCCUUCCCCACACAUCCACCCCACACAUCCAGUCCCACACAUCCAGCCCCACACAUUCCAGGCCCCACACAUUCCCGCCCCACACAUCCAGCCCCAUGGAUCCGGACCCACACAUGCAGCCCCACACAUCCAGCCCCACACAUUCCUGGACCCACAC
rnacentral:lncRNA from 1 species